rnacentral:rRNA from 1 species
UGAGCUUGAUCCUGGCUCAGGACGAACGCUGGCGGUAUGCCUAAUACAUGCAAGUCGAACGCUGAAGCACUCUGCUUGCAGAGUGCGGAUGAGUGGCGAACGGGUGAGUAACACGUGGGUAACCUGCCCAUAAGAGGGGGAUAACAUCCGGAAACGGGUGCUAAUACCGCAUAGGUGAACGGAGCGCAUGCUCUGUUCAUUAAAGAUGGCCUUGUGCUAUCGCUUAUGGAUGGACCCGCGGCGUAUUAGCUAGUUGGUGAGGUAAUGGCUCACCAAGGCGAUGAUACGUAGCCGACCUGAGAGGGUGAUCGGCCACACUGGGACUGAGACACGGCCCAGACUCCUACGGGAGGCAGCAGUAGGGAAUCUUCCACAAUGGGCGAAAGCCUGAUGGAGCAAUACCGCGUGAGUGAAGAAGGUCUUCGGAUCGUAAAGCUCUGUUGUUAGAGAAGAACACGCAGAACAGUAACUGGUUCUGCGCUGACGGUAUCUAACCAGA